UUUUUUCAAUAGAGCAUCAUACAGAAAACCUUGAUUCUGAACCGAGUCCAAACUGUGACCAAGCUGCCGCCAUCUAUAUGAAUGAGAGUCUGUUAGGACCCCCUCCUCUCCCUUUGGAGCCCACUGACAUAGAACUCAACCCCAUAAGCACCUAGGAGGCUCUAUGGGAGACAUUGACUGUAGGUUUAAACUUCUGCUGCCCCUGAGAUGAACCCCGGUUACUGAGCUGACUCCAAGUGGACCCCUUAAAGCUGUGAACCCCUCUAUUCCUGGCUCACCUCAUCCUGACAGGAAGAGAAGGGGAGGGCUUUAUGACAGCCACAAUGAACAAAGGAGCCCCCUUCAUUCUUCCUCUCACUUUACUUAUAACGACCUGUAUGUUAAUGUUAACAAGUUAAUGUUACAAUCAAAGACCGCCUGCGUUA
ensembl:lncRNA